rnacentral:lncRNA from 1 species
GGACGCAGGAUUUUAUUUAUUUUUUUUAAAUUUAGACUUUGCGCGACCAAUAUUUUUUGUCGCUCUAAACUUUGCGCGACCAAUAUAUAUUUUUCGUCUUGCAAAAAUUUGGGUGGGUACCAAAAAUCGGACGCGGGAAUUUUUUUAGAAUUUGCGCGACCAAUAAGUAUUUUUCGUCGCGCAAAAAUUUAAAAAUUUUGGCGGGUACCAAAAAUGGGACGCGGGGAUUUUUAUUUUUUAAAAUAAUUUUUUUAGACUUUGCGCGACCAAUAUGUAUUUUUC